UUUAAUUGAAGAGUUUGAUCAUGGCUCAGAUUGAACGCUGGCGGCAGGCCUAACACAUGCAAGUCGAGCGGUAACAUUUCUAGCUUGCUAGAAGAUGACGAGCG
rnacentral:rRNA from 1 species